rnacentral:rRNA from 1 species
CCUACGGGAGGCAGCAGUGAGGAAUAUUGGUCAAUGGUCGGGAGACUGAACCAGCCAAGCCGCGUGAGGGAUGAAGGUACAGAGUAUCGUAAACCUCUUUUGUCAGGGAACAAAGGCGGGGACGUGUCCCCGGAUGAGUGUACCUGAAGAAAAAGCAUCGGCUAACUCCGUGCCAGCAGCCGCGGUAAUACGUAGGGGGCAAGCGUUAUCCGGAUUCACUGGGCGUAAAGGGAGCGCAGGCGGCACGGCAAGGCUGAUGUGAAAACCCGGGGCUCAACCCCGGGACUGCAUUGGAAACUGCCGGG